ACGGGUGAGUAACGCGUGGGUAACCUGCCUCAUACAGGGGGAUAACAGUUAGAAAUGACUGCUAAUACCGCAUAAGCCCACGGGUCGGCAUCGACCAGAGGGAAAAGGAGCAAUCCGCUUUGAGAUGGCCUCGCGUCCGAUUAGCUAGUUGGUGAGGUAAUGGCCCACCAAGGCGACGAUCGGUAGCCGGACUGAGAGGUUGAACGGCCACAUUGGGACUGAGACACGGCCCAGACUCCUACGGGAGGCAGCAUG
rnacentral:rRNA from 1 species